rnacentral:lncRNA from 1 species
CGAGAAUCGUCGCCCAACCCUGACCACUCUUUUCCUCCUUUGUCUCUUGUCUGUCUUUGGGUUUCGAGGAGAAGACGAGGGAAGAUGAACAAGCUGAGGGAGGGAGAAACGGACGUUAUCUGGAGGAGAGUUCUGCCGAGGCCCAGUGGGGGAGGAGACCUGCUGCUUCCCAAGGGCAGGUGACAAGGGUGUCCUGCUACUUCCCAGGCAGAAAGUUCCUUCUGUUGACCCUGUGAGUGGUGCCUAGGCCUGGCGACUUGAUUUGCAGGGCCCCGUGGAAAAUGAAAAUAUGGCCUCCUUGUUAAAAAUUCAUGAAGAAUUUUUCCUUUUUUUUUUUAAAUUUGAUUUUUCUUAGAGUAUAGUUGAUUUACAGUGUUCCAAUUUCGGUCGCAGAGCACAGUGACCCAGUCCCACAUAUAUAAAGGACAUAUUCUUUUUUUUUUUUUUUAUCAUGGUCUAUCCCAGGAGACUGAAUAUAGCUCCCAGGGCUGUGCAGGAAGACCUCAUUGCUUAUCCAUUCAUGAAGAAUUUUAAGACAGUGACAGCAGAGGGUUAAGCAAACAUGGGAUGCGUCUAGGUGUGGACUGUCACACUUGACACUGGUACCUCCAGGAAUCCCGCCGUGGUGCUCUUUGAUGGAGGUUUCAAGUACUGAGCUUUGGGUGGUCCCAGCAUCUGAGAGGCCGCGGGGGGCCGGGGCCAAGAAAAUGGGGAAAAGGCUAUGUCACGUCCGACUUCCACGUCCUCGCUGACACCGUGGUGCUCAAACCCAGUGUCCAUCUCUGCUUGCCCUUUGCUGGGCGCGGGCUACCAGAAUUCCUGCUGAGCCUGGGCUCCUGAUCCGGGAAAAUGAGUGGUCUGGAACCGAACCGGCAGUGUUUCUGAGUUAUGCCCUGCAACAUUAGGCUGAGUCUAAGGAUAUCAAGUCAACAAAACAGUCAGAUAAAUGUGCCAGUUAAAAUUCUGGAGAUGUCCUUCUUAGACCUGGCCUUGUCACCAAGCACACAUUCUUGGAGAUUCUACGGGAAUGGCAGCAACGGGAUGCUGGAGGCCGGGGCUCUUAGUACUGCACAGGAGAAAAUGGGUGUGUGAUCUCAGCUCCCAGAAGACCAGAGAUUGAACCCAGGCCACAGAGGUGAAAAUGCUGAAUCCUAACCACUAAACUACCAGGGGAUCCCCAAAUUCAAUGAACUGACCCAUUUGAUCAAUGCAACGACCAAUUAUAUUUUGUGGUGAGUGAUUUUCUUAUCUUUGGCCCUGGCUAUUUCUAUCAUUGCUUAGUAUUUGAGUAUUUUUUAAUUACUUUGGAUUGAGAAUUAUUCCCAAGUGCUAAAAUCACUAGAUAUCCACUAACAAUUUUCAUGUAAGGUAUGACUAUCAUGGUUUUCCUUAAGUAAGUAAGUAUAUUUAAUAGUUCUCCAAAACCAAAGAAUGAUUUAUUUCUGACUGAAAAUAAGUAACAUAAAAUGAGCUUACUACCGAUAAAACUAUCACUAGGCCGUUCCCUUCUGUCACUGGUCAAUGGGAGAAAAAGAUGCGAGGCAGAGACAAGUUAGUCAUAGGAACCCAUUGUGGAUUUAAAAAAAAAUGCCUUUUGUUGUUGUUGUGUUUUUUUAAGGGCUGUGGACUUGGCAUAUGGAAGUUCCCAGGCUAGGGGUUGAACUGGAGCUGCAGCUUCCAGCCUAUGCCACAGCCACAGCAAUGCCAGAUCUGAGCUGAAUCUAUGACCUAUACCACAGCUCAUGGCAGUUCUGGAUCCUUAACCCACUGAACGAGGCCAGGGAUCGAACCCAUGUCCUCAUGGGACCUCCUAAAUGCAUUUUAAAAAAAACUUCUUGGUGUUCCCGUCGUGGCUCGGUGGUUAACAAAUCUGACUGGGAACCAUGAGGUGGUGGGUUCGAUCCCUGGCCUUGCUCAGUGGGUUGAGGAUCCGGCAUUGCCAUGAGCUGCUACAGCUCCGAUUCGGCCCCUAGCCUGGUAUCCGCCAUAUGCCUCGGGUACAGCCCUAGAAAAGACAAAAAGAUGAAAUAAAUAAAAUUUUAAAAUAAAUAAAAAAAACCUU